rnacentral:sRNA from 1 species
CUGCGGAGGGAUCAUUACCGAGUGUAAAAACUCCCAAACCAUUGUGAACCUACCACUGUUGCUUCGGCGGCCUCGCCCCGGGCGCGUUCGCGCGGCCCGGACCCAGGCGUCCGCCGGAGGCUCCAAACUCUUGUCUUUUAGUGUAUUUCUGAGUGGCAUAAGCAAAUAAAUCAAAACUUUCAGCAACGGAUCUCUUGGUUCUGGCAUCGAUGAAGAACGCAGCAAAAUGCGAUAAGUAAUGUGAAUUGCAGAAUUCAGUGAAUCAUCGAAUCUUUGAACGCACAUUGCGCCCGCCAGUAUUCUGGCGGGCAUGCCUGUCUGAGCGUCAUUUCAACCCUCAGGACCCGUUCGCGGGACCUGGCGUUGGGGAUCAGCCUGCCCCUGGCGGCGGCUGGCCCUGAAAUCCAGUGGCGGUUCCCUCGCGAACUCCUCCGUGCAGUAAUUAAACCUCUCUCGGCAGGAUAGCGGUUGAACCACGCCGUUAAACCCCCCACUUCUCAAGGUUGACCUCAGAUCAGGUAGGAAUACCCGCUGAACUUAAGCAUAUCAAU